rnacentral:rRNA from 1 species
AGUAAAAGUCGUAACAAGGUUUCCGUAGGUGAACCUGCGGAAGGAUCAUUACCGAGUGAGGGCCCUCUGGGUCCAACCUCCCACCCGUGUUUAUUUUACCUUGUUGCUUCGGCGGGCCCGCCUUAACUGGCCGCCGGGGGGCUUACGCCCCCGGGCCCGCGCCCGCCGAAGACACCCUCGAACUCUGUCUGAAGAUUGAAGUCUGAGUGAAAAUAUAAAUUAUUUAAAACUUUCAACAACGGAUCUCUUGGUUCCGGCAUCGAUGAAGAACGCAGCGAAAUGCGAUACGUAAUGUGAAUUGCAAAUUCAGUGAAUCAUCGAGUCUUUGAACGCACAUUGCGCCCCCUGGUAUUCCGGGGGGCAUGCCUGUCCGAGCGUCAUUGCUGCCCUCAAGCCCGGCUUGUGUGUUGGGCCCCGUCCCCCGAUCUCCGGGGGACGGGCCCGAAAGGCAGCGGCGGCACCGCGUCCGGUCCUCGAGCGUAUGGGGCUUUGUCACCCGCUCUGUAGGCCCGGCCGGCGCUUGCCGAUCAACCCAAAUUUUUAUCCAGGUUGACCUCGGAUCAGGUAGGGAUACCCGCUGAACUUAAGCAUAU